rnacentral:rRNA from 2 species
AGAGUUUGAUCAUGGCUCAGGAUGAACGCUGGCGGUAUGCUUAACACAUGCAAGUCGAACGGAUGUUUUCGGACAUUAGUGGCGGACGGGUGAGUAACGCGUGAGAAUCUAGCUUCAGGUUGGGGACAACAGUUGGAAACGACUGCUAAUACCGAAUAUGCCGAGAGGUGAAAGAUUAAUUGCCUGAAGAAGAGCUCGCGUCUGAUUAGCUAGUUGGUGGGGUAAGAGCUUACCAAGGCGACGAUCGGUAGCUGGUCUGAGAGGACGAUCAGCCACACUGGGACUGAGACACGGCCCAAACUCCUACGGGAGGCAGCAGUGGGGAAUAUUGGACAAUGGGCGCAAGCCUGAUCCAGCCAUGCCGCGUGAGUGAUGAAGGCCUUAGGGUUGUAAAGCUCUUUCGGCGGGGACGAUAAUGACGGUACCCGCAGAAGAAGCCCCGGCUAACUUCGUGCCAGCAGCCGCGGUAAUACGAAGGGGGCUAGCGUUGUUCGGAAUCACUGGGCGUAAAGGGCGCGUAGGCGGCUUGAUAAGUCGGGGGUGAAAGCCUGUGGCUCAACCACAGAAUUGCCUUCGAUACUGUCUGGCUUGAGACCGGAAGAGGUAAGUGGAACUGCGAGUGUAGAGGUGAAAUUCGUAGAUAUUCGCAAGAACACCAGUGGCGAAGGCGGCUUACUGGUCCGGUUCUGACGCUGAGGCGCGAAAGCGUGGGGAGCAAACAGGAUUAGAUACCCCUGUAGUCC